rnacentral:rRNA from 1 species
AACCCUUAUCCCCAGUUGCCAUCAGGUAAGCUGGGAACGUCUGGGGAGACUGCCGGUGAUAAACCGGAGGAAGCGGGGAUGACGUCAAGUCCUCAUGGCCCUUACAUCCCGGGCUACACACGUGCUACAAUGGCAGGUACAGAGGGCUGCGAAGCCGCGAGGUGGAGCGAAUCCCAGAAACCUGUCUCAGUCCGGAUUGAAGUCUGCAACUCGACUUCAUGAAGGCGGAAUCGCUAGUAACCGCGAAUCAGCAGGUCGCGGUGAAUACGUUCCCGGGCCUU